UGCGGAAGGAUCAUUGUCAUAA
rnacentral:rRNA from 1 species